CCUCAGGCCCCCAUGGGCCUGCUAAGCCACAUCCAGGCCAGUAGCCCUUCGGAGCCACCCUGUGUAUGCCGAGUGUAGGGCAACAGACUGCACUCUUUCUUGGGACAGCUUGAUUUCCUCCACACUCCCACAGGUCGACGAACACCUUUCUAGCAGGUCCAACAUACCGUGCAAGUGUGACUCAUUGCCCUAGUCUGAGCUGUACUGAGAAUAACCCUCGGCUUCGCAUUCGAUCUGGGACCCCCUGCCUGAAGUCACCCUGCCUCCAAGAGAAUGUCGGCUUGCGUUCCGACUGCAACUAAAGCCCAGUUCCUCGUGUAACACUGCAGGCUUUUGAAGAGCCACGGGCCCGGAAGCUAAGCUGGGGCGUUCCUUGGUUGAGGCAGUUCGCUGUUUGCAGAACACCCUGCUUCGAGGAGUUGAUUCAGGGAAGGAACCACUGGGUAACCUGUGUCUGUUUGGACUUGUUAGAAAGCACAGGGAUGUAUGCUGCGUGUGCCCGUGAAAAUGGGGGCCUGAUGGAACUAGCCUUGCUUUCCCAUUUUGAAAGCUCCAUUCAUGCUGCCUUGAAGCUACUUGAAAUUGACUGCUGUUGACAGGCCACUAGCCACUGUAGGCAUGGCUCUGGGAAGAAAAUGAGUUUUCUCUCGGUAAGCCGGGUGCUUCGAUGGGCGGGGUGGAGCUCAUCCUGCCAUGCUCUAGAGCUAAAGGGAAACUCAACGUGAGUACUGGCCUCGAGGUAAGUCCCUGAGUAGCCGCGCAGAAAGGGAGGCAUGCAGCUCUUUCCAUGAGGUCUUAGUCACUGUGCUGCUUUAUUUUAUUUUAUUUUUUUAUUUUUUAUUGUUUUUUUGAGAUUUAUUUCUUGAUUGAUUGAUUGUUAUGUUGGAUCUUCGUUUCUGUGCUAGGGCCCUCUACAGUUGCGGUAAGUGGGGGCCACUCUUCAUCGCGGUGCGUAGGCCUCUCACUAUCGCGGCCUCUCUUGUUGGGAGCACAGGCUCCAGAGGCGCAGGCUCAGUAGUUGUGGCUCACGGGCCCAGUUGCCCCGCGGCCUGUGGGAUCCUCCCAGAUCAGGGCUCGAACCCGUGUACCCUGCAUUGGCAGGCAGAUUCUCAACCACUGCGCAACCAGGGAAGCCCCUGUUCUGCUUUAAUUUAAAGGAAGUACCCUUUUCAGGACUCCUAGGCCCCUCGGGUGUGCAUCAUUUUCCCUCCAAGAUUAGUGAGUACCUCCAGACCCCUGUGGGCCUCCUAAGUAAUAUCGAGGCCCAAAGGUCGUUCCCUCGGAGGCCCUCUGUGUAUGCCGAGUGAUGGGCAACACCCUGCACGUUUCUUAAAGAGAGCUACAUUUCCAGAGCACUGGAGCAGCCUCAGGACCACAUUUCUAGCCAGUGCGACGUGCCAUGGAAGUGUUCGUCAUGGCCUCCGUUUGAGCUGCCAUGAGAAAACACUCUGCUUAGGAUUCUUCGAGGACCUCGUAUCUGAAGUCACUCUGCUCGAGGAGAAAGUCAGCAUCCUACCAUGCUGUGUCGCUAACGGGACACUCAGCGUGAGCAGUUGUCUCGAGGUAAGGCCCUGAAUUGCCAUGCAGAAGCGGAGGCGUGCAGCAGUUUCCAGGAGGCCGUAGCCGCUGCUCUGCAUUGUUUUAACGUCAGUACGCUUUGCAGGACAUCUAGGAACCCUGCGUAGGCACCCUAUCCCCUGCAAGAACACUGAGUACCCUCAGGCCCCCAUGGGCCUGCUAAGCCACAUCCAGGCCAGUAGCCCUUUGGAACCACUCUGUGUAUGCUGAGUGCAAGGCAACAGACUGCACUCUUUCUUGGGACAGCUUGAUUUCCUCCACACUCCCACAGGUCGACGAACACCUUUCUAGCAGGCCCAACAUACCGUGCAAGUGUGACUCAUUGCCCUAGUGUGAGCUGCACUGAGAACAACCCUCGGCUUCACAUUCGAUCUGGGACCCCCUGCCUGAAGUCACCCUGCCUCCAGGAGAAUGUCGGCUUGCGUUCCGACUGCAACUAAAGCCCAGUUCCUCGUGUAUCACUGCAGGCUUUUGAAGAGCCACGGCCCCGGAGGUUUAGCUGGUGUGUUCCUUGGUUGAGGCAGUUUGCUGUUUGCAGAACACCCUGCUUCGAGGAGUUGAUUCAAGGAAGGAACCACUGCAUAACCUGUGACUCUUGGGACUUGUUAGAAAGCACAGGGAUGUAUGCUGCGUGUGCCCGUGGAAUUGGGGGCCUGAUGGAACUAGCCUUGCUUUCCCAUUUCGAAAGCUCCAUUCAUGCUGCCUUGAAGCUACUUGAAAUUGACUGCUGUUGACAGGCCACUAGCCACUGUAGGCAUGGCUCUGGGAAGAAAAUGAGUUUUUUCUACGUAAGCCGGGUGCUUGGAUGGCCGCGGUGGAGCUCAUCCUGCCACGCUCUAGAGCUAAAGGGAAACUCAACGUGAGUACUGGCCUCGAGGUAAGUCCCUGUGUAGCCGUGCAGAAAGGGAGGCAUGCAGCUCUUUCCAUGAGGUCUUAGUCGCUGUUCUGCUUUAUUUUAUUUUUUUUAUUUUUUAUUGUUUUUUUAAGACUUAUUGAUUGAUUGAUUGACUGCUAUGUUGGGCCUUCGUUUUUGUGCUAGGGCUCUCUCCAAUUGCGGUAAGUAGGGGCCACUCUUCAUUGCGGUGCGUAGGCCUCUCACUAUCGCAGCCUCUCUUGUUGUGGAGCACAGGCUCCAGAGGCGCAGGCUCAGUAGUUGUGGCUCACGGGCCCAGUUGCUCUGCGGCAUGUGUGAUCCUCCCAGACCAGGGCUCGAACCUGUGUACCCUGCGUUGGCAGGCAGAUUCUCAACCACUGUGCCACCAGGGAAGCCACUGUUCUGCUUUAUUUUAAAGGAAGUACCCUUUUCAGGACUCCUGGGCCCCUCGGGUGUGCAUGAUUUUCCCUCCAGGAUCCCUGAGUGCCUCCAGACCCCUGUGGGCCUGCUGAGCAACAUCGAGGCCCAAAGGUCGGUCCUUCGGAGGCCCUCUGUGUAUGAAGAGUGAUGGGUAACACCCUGCACGUUCCUUAAGGAGAGCUCCAUUUCCAGAGCACUGGAGCAGCCUCAGGACCACAUUUCUAGCCAGUGCGACGUGCCAUGGAAGUGUUCGUCACGGCCCCCGUCUCAGCUGCCAAGAGGAAACACUCUGCUUAGAAUUCUUCGUGAACCUCGUACCUGAAGUCACUCUGCUCGAGGAGAAAGUCAGCAUCCCACCAUGCUGUGGCGCUAACGGGACACUCAGCGUGAGCAGUUGCCUCGAGGUCCAACAUGCCGUGCAAGUCUGGCUCAUUGCCCUAGUCUGAGCUACACAGAAAAAAAACCCUCGGCUUCGCAUUCCAUCUGGGACCCCCUGUCUGAAGUCACCCUGCCUCCAGGAGAAAGUCGGCUUGCGUUCCGACUGCAACAAAAGCCCAGUUCCUCGUGUAACACUGCAGGCUUUUGAAGAGCCACGGGCCCGGAGGCCUAGCUGGGGCGUUCCUUGGUUGAGGCAGUUCGCUAUUUGCAGAACACCCUGCUUCGAGGAGUUGAUUCAGGGAAGGAACCACUGGGUAACCUGUGUCUCUUUGGACUUGUUAGAAAGCACAGGGAUGUAUGCUGCGUGUGCCCGUGGAAGUGGGGGCCUGAUGGAACUAGCCUUGCUUUCCCAUUUUGAAAGCUCCAUUCAUGCUGCCUUGAAGCUUCUUGAAAUUGACUGCUGUUGACAGGCCACUAGCCACUGUAGGCAUGGCUCUGGGAAGAAAAUGAGUUUUCUCCAGGUAAGCCGGGUGCUUCGAUGGCUGGGGUGGAGCUCAUCUUGCCAUGUUCUAGAGCUAAAGGGAAACUCAACGUGAGUACUGGCCUUGAGGUAAGUCCCUGAGUAGCCGCGCCGAAAGGAAGGUAUGCAGCUCUUUCCAUGAGGUCUUAGUCGCUGUUCUGCUUUAUUUUAUUUUAUUUUUUUUUGUUUUUAUUUUUUUUUUUAAAGAUUUUUGAUUGAUUGAUUGAUUGUUAUGUUGGGUCUUCGUUUUUGUGCUAGGGCUCUCUGCAGUUGCGUCAAGUGGGGGCCAGUCUUCAUCGCGGUGCGUAGGCCUCUCACUAUCGUGGCCUCUCUUGUUGGGGAGCACAGGCUCCAGAGGCACAGGCUCAGUAGUUGUGGCUCACGGGCCCAGUUUCUCUGCGGCAUGUGGGAUCCUCCCAGACCGGGGUUCGAACCCGUGUCCCCUGCAUUGGCAGGCAGAUUCUCAACCACUGCGCCACCAGCGAAGCCCCUGUUCUGCUUUAUUUUAAAGGAAGUACCCUUUUCAGGACUCCUGGGCCCCUCGGGUGUGCAUGAUUUUCCCUCCAGGAUCCCUGAGUGCCUCCAGACCCCUGUGGGCCUGCUGAGCAACAUCGAGGCCCAAAGGUCGGUCCCUCAGAGGCCCUCUGUGUAUGCCGAGUGAUGGGCAACACACUGCUCGUUCCUUAAGGAGAGCUCCAUUUCCAGAGCACUGCAACAGCCUCAGGACCACAUUUCUAUCCAGUGCGACGUGCCAUGGAAGUGUUCGUCACAGCCCCCGUCUGAGCUGCCGUGAGAAAACACUCUGCUUAGAAUUCUUCGAAGACCUCGUACCUGAAAUCACUCUGCUCGAGGAGAAAGUCAGCAUCCUACCAUGCUGUGGCGCUAACGGGACACUCAGCGUGAGCAGUUGUCUCGAGGUCGACGAACACCUUUCUAGCAGGUCCAACAUACCGUGCAAGUGUGACUCAUUGCCCUAGUCUGAGCUGCACUGAGAACAACCCUCGGCUUCGCAUUCGAUCUGGGACCCCCUGCCUGAAGUCACCCUGCCUCCAGGAGAAUGUCUGCUUGCGUUCCGACUGCAACUAAAGCCCAGUUCCUCGUGUAACACUGCAGGCUUUUGAAGAGCCACGGGCCCGGAAGCUAAGCUGGGGCGUUCCUUGGUUGAGGCAGUUCGCUGUUUGCAGAACACCCUGUUUCGAGGAGUUGAUUCAGGGAAGGAACCACUGGGUAACCUGUGUCUCUUUGGACUUGUUAGAAAGCACAGGGAUGUAUGCUGCGUGUGCCCGUGGAAAUGGGGGCCUGAUGGAACUAGCCUUGCUUUCCCAUUAUGAAAGCUCCAUUCAUGCUGCCUUGAAGCUACUUGAAAUUGACUGCUGUUGACAGGCCACUAGCCACUGUAGGCAUGACUUUGGGAAGAAAAUGAGUUUUCUCUAGCUAAGCCGGGUGCUUCGAUGGCCGGGGUGGAGCUCAUCCUCCCACGGUCUAGAGGUAAAGGGAAACUUAACGUGAGUACUGGCCUCGAGGUAAUGCUCUGAGUAGCCGUGCAGAAAGGGAGUCGUGCAGCUGCUUCCAUGAUGUCUUAGUCACUCUUCUGCUUUAUUUUAGAGGAAGUACCCUUUUCAGGACUCCUAAGCCCCCCGAUUGGCACCCUUUUCCCUACAGAUCACUGAGUACCCCCAGACCCCUCUAUGUUUGCUGAGCAACAGCCAGGUCAGUUGGCACUUCAGAUGCCCUCUGUGUAUGCCGAGCAAAGGGCAACAUGCUACAGUCUUACUUGAGAGAACUAGAUUUCCUCAGCACUCCAGCAGCUUUAGGAAAACGUUUCUACCCCGUCUAACAUGCCAUGGAAUUGUGCCUCAUUGCCCUAUUGUGAGCUCUACUGAAAAUGCACUCUGCUAAGCAUUCCUUCUAGGACUUCCUACUUGAAGUUACCGUGCCUCCAAGAGAAAGUUGGCUGGCGUUCCAACUGUGAGUAAAGCACAUUUCUUCGUGUUACAGUGCAGGCUUUUGGAGCAAGCACAGGCCCAGAGGCCUAACUCAGGCAUUCCUUAGUUGAGGCAGUUCACUACACACAGAACACCCCGUGUAGAAAUGCUGAUUCAGGGAAGUGCCCAGUGUGUAGCUCGUGUCUCUUUUCACUUGUUAGGAAGCACGUGUAAGUGUGCUACGUGUCCGCUGGGAAAUGGGGGCCUGACGGCAGAAGCCAUCUCAUCAGAGGUGUUGGGAGUGUGUAGAGGCCUUAUAUUCCUGUUGUGUGUCCUGCAGGCAUCCCAUGAAAGACCAGAAUCUAGGUCAACUUGGGCAAGCCACUUAAGUGAGCCUCAGCUUUCUUUAUUUGUAAGGUGGGCACCACAGCGCUUCCCUCCCGUAUGCAUGGCGAAAUCCUGGCAACAAACGUACACCAUGUGGCCCCACUUUGAAAUCUUUAAAGAGGUCUGCCAAUAAAAGUGUCUGGAGGUUGUACCUUCCCUGCAAUGCGACACCUGGUCCAAGGUGGAGAGGUCCAGGAGUGAGCAGUUUGCCCUUCACAUGAACGGACAGAGCUCAGCCAGCGGCGUCCCUUCACUGAGAUCCUGGCUGCCGAGGUCCACACUGUCCAUGUAUCCAGGCUCGUUUCAGAUGGAGACUGAGAGGGCAAAUAGGCAGGUGUAAGGAUGCAAUCCUCAAAUCUUUAGCUUCAAAUAAUCCAUCCCAAACUGCUACCCGAGCCCCCCAGUAUCAAAAAGGAAACAUGUUAUAGACCCAGAAAAAUGUGUUUCCCAAAAGGCCUAGGUUUGCCCUCAUAGUCAUCAGUAUCUAAAACAGAAGUAGCAGUACACUUAAAAUCUUAAACUUCUAUGUAUUUAGGGACCAAAGGCAUUUUCAUCAGAAAGAAAAGGGAUUUAAUAAUGAAACCACAGAGAGAUAAAUUGUUUUCAAGCCCCUGAUAAGAGAGGGGAGAAAUGUCAACCUCAUGGGAGUUGCAGAAUCAGCAGUUAGGAUUUUCGGAUGCCAACUCUGGGGGAGAAGAGACUCCAGCCUGUACCCUCCCCGCCCCCCCUCCGCGGUAUGCCUGGUUAGGAGGCGAGUCCUGCAGGCGCGGUGGCCCCUGGGCUGGCCGGAGCGGCAGGAUGAGUGCAGGGGUCCCUGGACAGAACAGUUUACCCUCCCUCCCCAGAGACACCUGGCAAUGUCUGGAGGGUGGGCUAGCGGCCGGUGGCCAGGGACGCUGCUAAACACACUGCAAUGCCCAGGACAAAGCCCACCACAGGGAGCGAUUCAGCCCAGAAUGUCAGCAGUGCUGAGGGUGAGAAACCUAUGCAUGUGACAAUGCUGGCCUCCAGGAGAAGCUCAGGAGACAGCCCAACCCCCUUCCUUCCCACAAGGGGGCGAUGGUCCUCUCCUGUAGCUUGCUCCGAUUUAAGGGCCUUUUGCUGUCCGCUGCUGGUGAGUGACCCGGUGCCCUGGCUUUAGGGGUCGGGGCCUGAGGGCCUCGUUAGCUCCCUGAAUUCUGUGCACUCAGAGUGCGCUUCGCCCCCACGCUCCCCGCUGUUGUAGAGCAGGGUCUGCAAAGCCAGGAGGGGGGAUUGCUGGAUUUGGCGCUAGCAGGCGUGGUCUUGGCAGCACUGGUAAUGCACAGGGUGGUAUUUGGGGUAGAAAGAGACGAAUCAGGCCGAUUAGCAGCGAGGUGGCGGCUGCCGUGCGGAGCGCCCCUGAGUCGCGAGGCUCCGGGACCCGCUGGUCAGCAGCAGAGGUGUGACGACGACACAGUCUCGCACCGUGCCCCGCGGCCUGGGCCUUUCGGAGCUGCCCUCUUCAGAAGGCUCUCCCAGGCGCAGACCACCCCAUCCCCAAGCCCCAGCACGCUGGCCACUCCGCACUGGACAUCGAGAGGUCGUGCGGGGUGUGGUGUCCACGCCAGACUGACGUCCAGGUCAGAGGGGCUCAGCCUGAGGCUGAAAGGAUAUGGAUGGAUCAGUAGGUUAGUGGCGGUAAUAUCUCUUGGGAGGGAAUCACAGGGAAUUUUUACUUCUCAGUUAUCUUCUGCAUUUUAAAAACUUCUGCCAUGCGUAUGCAUUUCUGUAACCAAAACCUUAUUAGAGUGGAAGCUUAGCGAGGCAGCUUUGCAAAAGGACCCUGCCUGACUCUUGACCCACCUGUGUGCCUAAAUGCGCAUGUAGCUGGGGCUUGGUCAGCAGUGGUGACCUCCUGAAGCUAUUUACAACCUGUAAACGGUGUGUGCUCCUCCAUGGGAUACCUCAGUUCUCUGACUCUCAGGUUCUUCUUCUGUGGAGAAAAAGGGCAGAUAUGUUCUACAAAUGUCCACAGUUCCCCGUGGAGAAGGUACCUCUGGGCAUGAACAUGUGCUGGAGUGGCAUGAUGCUGGGGUCUGCCCCUCGCAGCUCAAUCUCAAAGACUCCAAGCAGAGCCGCCUACUUUAUAUUUUUCUUCCCUUCUGAAGACAUUGGCUGGCACUUGGCCUUGGUCUAGGGUGUACGCCUUCUUCAACCUGUUGACUGCAGAGUCCUCACAUUGCUUUGGGCUUGGUCCAAGUCUGUGCUUGAGUGGAGGACGGGGCUUUGAGAGGGUCCACACGCCCCUCCUUCCCAGCCACGCACCUUCUUUUCCUUGCCAAGCUCUCCCUUCUCCUACUGUGCCAACAAAGCAGCUGCUUCAACCUCUUCUGUAACCUGGGCUCUCCCAUCUGUCUUCAGUUUUUCCCGUGCUCAUAGCUGGUUAGAAGCCUGCGGGGGGGUGUUUUUCAGACGAACUUGAGUAACUUGCCCUCGUAGAUUCGUUAAGAGCCUGUAGGUGUCGAAGGGAUUUGUGGAAAAGACACAGCAGAGUCUGCGAGAACCCGAGGCGGCUGUGGCUGGAGCCAGGACCAAAAGUGGGGUGAAUGUUUCAUGGGUAAAGACCUUUUUCGUAACGAGUGAAGGUGAAAUGAGCAGACUGUGCGACUCAGAUUCCAGCUGCGUCCCCAUCACUCCCCUCGGGAGUGUGCCGGAAGGACCCCAGAGAGCUGGCCCGCUGGGAUGAGCUUAUAGCCUUGGGGCCCCAAACUGGAAGGAUGAUCAGCAUUCCUGGUGCUCUGGGUUCAGCAAGACCUGACUGAGGGACUCUCUUUUCUGGUUGUUGGCUGAGUAUGUAAUGUCCACUCUGGGUCAUCUAAGGGCCGAGACCAAGUACUCUGUUCCUGCUGUGACCCGUGCUUCUGCUACCAUGUGCUGCACAAGAGCUGGAAAGUAGGAACUGCAGCCCGGCAAGCCACGGACCCAGGCAAUCCUAAAACUGCAAAGUCACCUGUGUUGAUUCCAGCCAGCUUUUACCUGCAGGAUGGACGGGACUCACCUGGUACAAGUGACGCGGGAUCGAGCUGGACUCUUGGUUUUCUGCUCCGCCUCUGCUUCCUCUCCGCAUCCUGGACUCUAAAGAAGAUGAAUGAAAUGUCUGCUCUGGUUGCUGGCUGUUUCAUCGCCAACUUAACCUCAGUCUGUGGUUGUGGAGGGCCUCAGAAGUCAGGAAGGUCCCCCGCCGCCAACCUGGGGAGGGUGGGGCCGGACCCAGGUUCCAGCCCAGCCCUGACACGCAGUGCACUGAGUGGGACAUGUUGGCAUGCAUGCAAGGCUGUAGCGCUGCCAGCCCCCAUAUGCUGCUUUCUUGAGGGCUGGCGGUGCCCUUCAGGACUGGCUGCAUCCUUUGUCCCAUUUGAGUGGGCAGUAGUAGAUAAUAAAAUCUCAGAAUAUCCCUUGACCCCUGACCAUCCAGGCAGGCAUCUGUGGUCCUCCAGCUCAGGCCUGCCUGGGCCCUGUCAAGCCCCUGUGGCCAAUCACUGAGCUGACGUUGCUGCUGGGCAAUUGAACAGCUACCUGGGCAGCGUAGACGGCCCCUUGGGAUGUUUCAGUUCCCUACAUCCAUGUGAUUGAGAAAAGGGCCUCCUCCCUUAUAGCCUCUCAGCCUUCCGAGAGGACGUAACCCUCCAGACAUUGAGUGUGGCCCUGGCCACAACCAGCAUACAGCAGACCGUGGCCCUGCAAUCCUCUGGCCUUCGGGUUGUUGCAAAUCUUUGACAUUCAUACUCAUUAAAAAUCAAAGGUAUGGGAGCAAGUGGCUUCCCAGCUGGUGUUUUCACCCUGAGGCCACGUGGUCUCCAGGAGCCACGUGCAUCCGGGCCCAGUCCCUGCGGCCUCCGGAAAGCCAGCCAACUGUGGAUUCCACGGUAUAGAAUCAUCCUUGAGACACUGCUCUGCUGAGUAACAGUUUCCUUACCACCUACCGUUUGGUUUCUGUUCUCUGUAAAGGAGAGAGCAGAGACUGGAAAAUGAGCAAAUGUGUUCUGUGGAGGUGGGUGAUUAAUAUAGUCAGAGGGCAGGUGUGACUCCUGGGCUCCCACCUCCCAGGGACACGAAUGAAGUCUGUGUGCCUUUUGAGGUACACUGGCAAUCAGGGCCAGCCUCUGAUAUGAGGCCCCGAUGCCCAAAGCAAGAGUCUUGAGUUUACCACCAACAGCAAAGUUGCUAUUUUAGCUAGUGGAAGAGCUUCCUGCCAUCAAGGGAGGACAGCAAGAGCCCUGGAUGGGUGACCACAGCCCCUGACCUUAACUGAACCUCUACUUUUCUGUUAAAAUGGACAUUGAGUGGGUGUCGCCUGCAGAUUCUGGAAGCCCUGGAUGCAGCGAGAGAGAGUGUUCCUGUGCAUGGGGCCACCCGAAGGCAUUUAGCAGCACAAAGGAUUGGAGGGAGACCAGAUCACACUGCAAGAGAGUGAGCCACCAGAACUGCCAGGUCCAAAUCCACUCUUAAACCUGUCUCUUGCAGUUAUUAAUUUAUUUCUAUCGUUUAAAAAUAAUGUUUUAUUUUACUUUAGUAAGUGUGUCCAGUCCAUUGGAAUCAAAAAAGUCAUAGCUGAUACAUCAGAACGAAUAAUCUCUGAGACUCCCUUGGGUGCCCUACUGGAUGGGGCAUGGCUGGGAGAGAUGAAGACACUGAGCAGGGUCCGAACUUAGGGGAACUGCCAGACUGCUGUGUCUCUGUUCCUUCCCUGUCCCAGGAGAGCGAAAUCCCGGAACAAUGAAAGGACAAGCAAAAGGGGGAAGAGGUCUUUUGGUGGCUUAACUGUUGUGUUUGUAUUUUCCUUUGUUAUGUUCCGUUUUGUUAAUGUGUGUUUUUACUAGGAAGUUACCCAUUUCCUCUAGAUUUCUAGUGUGAUGCAAUAGGUUUCUCAUUCUAGUUUUCAUCUGAAUUGUCUCUUAUUAACUGACAUCCAUAUUUCAUUUGGGUUUCCUUCAUUCUAAGUUUUUCUCUUCCAGGAUGCCAUCCAGUGUAUCAUGUGACAUUUAGUCAUCAUGUCUGUUUAGGCUCUUCUGGGCUUUCACAGUUUCUCAGACUGUCCUUGUUUCUAUGACCUUGACAUUGGUGAGGAGUACUGGUCAGAUACUUUGUUGACUGUCCUGCAUUGGAAUUUACUUGGUGUUUUUCUCAGGAUUAGGCUUGAGUUAUGCGUUUUGAGUAAGCAGAUCACAGAGGUAAAGUGCUUUCUCAUCACUUUAUAUCAAGGGAACAGGCUCUCAAGGCAACUUAUCACUGUUACUAUUAACUUUGGUCACCUGGCUGAGGUAGUUUGUCAGAUUUCCCCACAAGGAAGUUAAGUUUUUCCUAUUUCCGUGCUGUGUGUCUUCUCCAGGAGGAAGCUACUUUGGGAAGCAGCACUUAUGGAGACAGGAGUUAUCUCCACCUCCACAAUCCAUGGAUGGCUGAGUGUCCACAUCAAUUAUUGGGACUUCCACAUAGGAGAUUUCUAGUCAACCUUAUUGAUUAAAGCAAACAAACAAACAAAACCCUAUGCAGUUACUUAUUUUUACCAGCAUGGACACCUGUGGACAGUUUUUUUCUUUGUUUUCUUUGUUUUUUUAACUUUUUGUUAUAAUCCAGCAGUCCAGAUUUUGUUGCUAAGUUCAUUCCUACUUUGGCUAUUGAGAGCUCUUUCCAUUGGCUCCUGUUUUCCUUUGACAUCAUUCCACUCUGUGGAUUUUUUUCCUUGAUACUUCCUUAUUUUCUGAUAUAAGAUUCAAGAUUGUCCUGGCUCAUAUAUUUACUGUGUCAGUCCUAGUGUCAGCCGUUAUUUCAAAGAGCUCUGGUUCCUUUUACUAGAGAAUGUUAUGAAAAAGUUACAUAUAGGAGCUAAAAGUGCUCAGCUGAUAAUGCAAGGAAAUAUAUGCAUGUAUUCCCACCUCUGUGUAUUGUUAGGUCUCAGGGAGGGCUGCUCCACAAUGGCAUAUCAAUUAUUUUGAGUUACAGUUCCUUAAUAAAUGGCUGGUGCAAGAGGGACA